ACUCCUACGGGAGGCAGCAGUGGGGAAUAUUGCACAAUGGGCGCAAGCCUGAUGCAGCGACGCCGCGUGGGGGAUGAAGGCCUUCGGGCUGUAAACUCCUUUCGCUAGGGACGAAGCUUUUUUGUGACGGUACCUAGAUAAGAAGCACCGGCUAACUACGUGCCAGCAGCCGCGGUAAU
rnacentral:rRNA from 1 species